CUGUGUGGCGAGCGGCGGACGGGUGAGUAAUGCAUAGGAAUCUGCCCGGUAGUGGGGGAUAACGUGGGGAAACCCACGCUAAUACCGCAUACGUCCUACGGGAGAAAGCGGAGGCUCUUCGGACUUCGCGCUAUCGGAUGAGCCUAUGUCGGAUUAGCUAGUUGGUAAGGUAACGGCUUACCAAGGCGACGAUCCGUAGCUGGUCUGAGAGGAUGAUCAGCCACACUGGGACUGAGACACGGCCCAGACUCCUACGGGAGGCAGCAGUGGGGAAUAUUGGACAAUGGGCGAAAGCCUGAUCCAGCCAUGCCGCGUGUGUGAAGAAGGCUUUCGGGUUGUAAAGCACUUUCAGCGAGGAAGAAAGCCUUUGGGUUAAUACCCCAGAGGAAGGACAUCACUCGCAGAAGAAGCACCGGCUAACUCCGUGCCAGCAGCCGCGGUAAUACGGAGGGUGCGAGCGUUAAUCGGAAUUACUGGGCGUAAAGCGCGCGUAGGUGGCUUGGCACGCCGGUUGUGAAAGYCCCGGGCUCAACCUGGGAACGGCAUCCGGAACGGCCAGGCUAGAGUGCAGGAGAGGAAGGUAGAAUUCCCCGGUGUAGCGGUGAAAUGCGUAGAGAUCGGGAGGAAUACCAGUGGCGAAGGCGGCCUUCUGGCCUGACACUGACACUGAGGUGCGAAAGCGUGGGUAGCAAACAGGAUUAGAUACCCUGGUAGUCCACGCCGUAAACGAUGUCGACUAGCCGUUGGGACCUUUAAGGACUUAGUGGCGCAGUUAACGCGAUAAGUCGACCGCCUGGGGAGUACGGCCGCAAGGUUAAAACUCAAAUGAAUUGACGGGGGCCCGCACAAGCGGUGGAGCAUGUGGUUUAAUUCGAUGCAACGCGAAGAACCUUACCUACCCUUGACAUCCUGCGAACCCGGAAGAGAUUCCGGGGUGCCUUCGGGAACGCAGUGACAGGUGCUGCAUGGCUGUCGUCAGCUCGUGUUGUGAAAUGUUGGGUUAAGUCCCGUAACGAGCGCAACCCUUGUCCUUAUUUGCCAGCGAUUCGGUCGGGAACUCUAAGGAGACUGCCGGUGACAAACCGGAGGAAGGUGGGGACGACGUCAAGUCAUCAUGGCCCUUACGGGUAGGGCUACACACGUGCUACAAUGGCCGGUACAAAGGGUUGCGAGACCGCGAGGUGGAGCGAAUCCCAGAAAGCCGGCCUCAGUCCGGAUCGGAGUCUGCAACUCGACUCCGUGAAGUCGGAAUCGCUAGUAAUCGUGAAUCAGAAUGUCACGGUGAAUACGUUCCCGGGCCUUGUACACACCGCCCGUCACACCAUGGGAGUGGACUGCACCAGAAGUGGUUAGCUUAACCUUCGGGAGAGCGAUCACCACG
rnacentral:rRNA from 1 species